AUCCAGCUGACGAGUCCCAAAUAGGACAAAACGCGUGUCCUGGAU
rfam:Schistosoma rodhaini strain Burundi genome assembly, scaffold: SROB_scaffold0004398